rnacentral:rRNA from 1 species
AUGUUGACUGAAGAAGAGUUUGAAAAACAAUGGAAAGAGUUGAUUGAAAAGUAUUCACUGCAGAAGAAUACUUUCCUUAUACAGACUUAUGAAAAACGACAUAUGUGGGUGAAACCUUAUUUUGCAGGGAAGUUCUAUGCCAGAAUGACUAGCACACAGCGCAGCGAAAGCGCAAAUCACAUGCUCAAGAACUACAUACCUCCAGGCUGCCCUAUGAAUCUUUUUGUGAAACAAUAUAGCAAGCUUCAAUUCGACAGAGACCAGGAAGAAGGUUUCCAAGAAAAACGGACUAGACUGGUAAAAGUUUCAGUACUGAUUUCUGUAUUACUCUGCUGUUGA